rnacentral:piRNA from 1 species
UUGCAACAAGAGUAGUGCAAAGCAGAAGC